rnacentral:rRNA from 1 species
UACAGAGGUCCCAAGCGUUACUGAGAAUCACUGGGUUUAAAGGGUGCGUAGGUGGUCCGUUAAGUCAGUUGUGAAAGCCCUGGGCUCAACCGGAGAAUAGCUGGAGAUACUGGCCGUCUCGAGGGGGGUAGGGGCAUGUGGAACUUCCGGUGGAGCGGUGAAAUGCGUAGAUAUCGGAAGGAACGCCGGUGGCGAAAGCGACGUGCUGGACCCUUUCUGACGCUGAGGCGCGAAAGCCAGGGGAGCAAACGGG